rnacentral:rRNA from 1 species
AANGAUUUCUUAAAUAGCCNCGUUAUAACCGUGCUAAGGUAGCAUAAUAAUUUGUCCUUUAAUUAAGGUCUAGUAUGAAUGGUUAAACGAAAGGUUAACUUUUUUAAUUAAAUUAAUUUUAAUUUUAUUUUUUAGUUAAAAAGCUAAAAUAGUAUUAUAGGACGAUAAGACCCUAUAGAAUUUUAUUUAAAUAUGUUCAUUUUAUUAUUAUUUUGAAUAUAAUAUGUAUUUUAUUAAUUUGAUUGGGGUGAUUUUUAUAUUUUAUAAACUAUAAUAUAAUAUUUUUCAUGAAUUAAUGAAUUUUUGAUCCUUAAUUUGAGAUUAUUAGAAAAAAUUACCUUAGGGAUAACAGCGUGAUUUUCUUGGAGAGUUCUUAUUAAUAAGAAAGUUUGCGACCUCGAUGUUGGAUUAAAAUAUAAUUGUGGUGUAGAAGCUAUAAAUUUAAGUCUGUUCGACUUUUAAAAUUUUACAUGAUCUGAGUUCAACCCGGAA